AAGUCGUAACAAGGUUUCCGUAGGUGAACCUGCGGAAGGAUCAUUAGUGAAUGAGACGCAAGUCUCAAACACCCGUCGCAACUGGCUGUGCGCCUCUCGGGGCUGCACGCCGGAAGCGACACAUCUCACACACCUGUGCACCUUUCGGACGUUGGGUGCUGCAAAGCCCCGACGCCUGCCCUUUUACAUACCACUGUCUAUGAAUGUUAACUAUGUUAAACAAUACAACUUUCAACAACGGAUCUCUUGGCUCUCGCAUCGAUGAAGAACGCAGCGAAAUGCGAUAAGUAAUGUGAAUUGCAGAAUUCAGUGAAUCAUCGAAUCUUUGAACGCACCUUGCGCCCCAUGGUAUUCCGUGGGGCAUGCCUGUUUGAGUGUCACGUGAAACCCUCACUCCUGUCAUUGCCGCGAGGCGUGACUUGCAGUGGACUUGGACUGUGCCGUAGUUGGCUCGUCUUGAAAUUCAUUAGCUGUGCUGUGCGAUUUCGGCCGCCUGGUGUGAUAACUAUCUACGCCAACUGUGUCGUCAUUGGUCGGUGUGGCUCAUAAUCGUCGGCUUUGUUCGACAAUACACAUAACGCUCUGGCCUCAAAUCAGGUAGGACUACCCGCUGAACUUAAGCAUAUCAAUAAGCGGAGGAAAAGAAACUAACAAGGAUUCCCCUAGUAACGGCGAGUGAAGCGGGAAAAGCUCAAAUUUAAAAUCUGGCGGUCUACGGCCGUCCGAGUUGUAGUUUAGAGAGGCAUCUUCCGCGCCGGUCCAUGUACAAGUCCCUUGGAAUGGGGCGUCAUAGAGGGUGAGAAUCCCGUUCAUGACAUGGACUACCGGUGCUAUGUGAUGUGCCCUCAAAGAGUCGAGUUGUUUGGGAAUGCAGCUCAAAAUGGGUGGUAAAUUCCAUCUAAAGCUAAAUACAGGCGAGAGACCGAUAGCGAACAAGUACCGUGAGGGAAAGAUGAAAAGAACUUUGGAAAGAGAGUUAAACAGUACGUGAAAUUGUUGAAAGGGAAACGCUUGGAGUCAGUCGCGUCGGCCGGGACUCAGCCUUGCUUUUGCUUGGUGUACUUCUCGGUUGAUGGGCCAGCAUCAGUUUUGACCGUUGGAUAAGGGCUUGGGGAAUGUGGCACCCUCGGGUGUGUUAUAGCCCCUUGUCGUACACGACGGUUGGGACUGAGGAACGCAGCACGCCUUCAUGGUCGGGGUUCGAGGACCCACGCCACGUGCUUCGGAUGCUGGCAUAAUGGCUUUAAACGACC
rnacentral:rRNA from 1 species